rnacentral:rRNA from 1 species
AUUGAACGCUGGCGGCACGCCUAACACAUGCAAGUCGAGCGGCAGCGAGAGUAGUAGCAAUACUACUUGUCGGCGAGCGGCGGACGGGUGAGGAACACGUAGGAAUCUACCCAGAAGAGGGGGAUAACCAAGGGAAACUUUGGCUAAUACCGCAUAAUCUCGAGAGAGAAAAGCUGCCCGCAAGGGUGGCGCUUUUGGAGGAGCCUGCGUCCGAUUAGCUAGUUGGUAGGGUAAAGGCCUACCAAGGCGAUGAUCGGUAACUGGUCUGAGAGGACGACCAGUCACACUGGGACUGAGACACGGCCCAGACUCCUACGGGAGGCAGCAGUGGGGAAUAUUGGACAAUGGGGGCAACCCUGAUCCAGCGAUGCCGCGUGAGUGAAGAAGGCCUUCGGGUCGUAAAGCUCUUUAGGUUGGGAAGAAGGGUGCGAGGGUAAUAUCCUUGUACUUUGACGGUACCAACAGAAUAAGCACCGGCAAACUCUGUGCCAGCCGCCGCCGUAA